GAUGAACGCUGGCGGCGUGCUUAACACAUGCAAGUCGAACGGAAAGGCUCCUGCUUGCAGGGGUACUCGAGUGGCGAACGGGUGAGUAACACGUGGGUGAUCUGCCCUGCACUUCGGGAUAAGCCUGGGAAACUGGGUCUAAUACCGGAUAGGACGAUGGUUUGGAUGCCAUUGUGGAAAGUUUUUCGGUGUGGGAUGAGCUCGCGGCCUAUCAGCUUGUUGGUGGGGUAAUGGCCUACCAAGGCGUCGACGGGUAGCCGGCCUGAGAGGGUGUACGGCCACAUUGGGACUGAGAUAAGGGCCCGACUCCUACGGGAGGCAGCAGUGGGGAAUAUUGCACAAUGGGCGGAAGCCUGAUGCAGCGACGCCGCGUGGGGGAUGACGGCCUUCGGGUUGUAAACUCCUUUCGCUAGGGACGAAGCGCAAGUGACGGUACCUGGAGAAGAAGCACCGGCUAACUACGUG
rnacentral:rRNA from 1 species